rnacentral:rRNA from 1 species
UAGGGAAUAUUGGUAAUGUGCGAAAGCGCGAACCAGCAACGCCGCGUGCACGAUGAAGGCCUUCGGGUCGUAAAGUGCUUUUAGAGAGGAUGAGGAAGGACAGUACUUUCUGAAUAAGCCUCGGCUAACUACGUGCCAGCAGCCGCGGUAAAACGUAGGAGGCUAGCGUUAUCCGGAUUUACUGGGCGUAAGGCGCAUGCAGGUGGUUUUGUAAGUUGGAUGUGAAAGCUCCUGGCUUAACUGGGAGAGGUCGUUCAAAACUACAAGACUUGAGAUUGGUAGAGGAAAAUGGAAUUCCGGGUGUAGUGGUGAAAUGCGUAGAUAUCCGGAGGAACACCAGUGGCGAAAGCGGUUUUCUGGACCAAUUCUGACACUCAGAUGCGAAAGCUAAGGUAGCAAACG